rnacentral:rRNA from 1 species
UAACAAGGUCUCCGUAGGUGAACCUGCGGAGGGAUCAUUACAAGUGACCCCGGUCUAACCACCGGGAUGUUCAUAACCCUUUGUUGUCCGACUCUGUUGCCUCCGGGGCGACCCUGCCUUCGGGCGGGGGCUCCGGGUGGACACUUCAAACUCUUGCGUAACUUUGCAGUCUGAGUAAAUUUAAUUAAUAAAUUAAAACUUUUAACAACGGAUCUCUUGGUUCUGGCAUCGAUGAAGAACGCAGCGAAAUGCGAUAAGUAAUGUGAAUUGCAGAAUUCAGUGAAUCAUCGAAUCUUUGAACGCACAUUGCGCCCCCUGGUAUUCCGGGGGGCAUGCCUGUUCGAGCGUCAUUUCACCACUCAAGCCUCGCUUGGUAUUGGGCAACGCGGUCCGCCGCGUGCCUCAAAUCGACCGGCUGGGUCUUCUGUCCCCUAAGCGUUGUGGAAACUAUUCGCUAAAGGGUGCUCGGGAGGCUACGCCGUAAAACAAACCCAUUUCUAAGGUUGACCUCGGAUCAGGUAGGGAUACCCGCUGAACUUAAGCAUAUCAAUAAGCGGAGGAAAAGAAACCAACAGGGAUUGCCCCAGUAACG